AAUGAACGCUGGCGGCGCGCCUAACACAUGCAAGUCGAGCGAGGCCGCGGGGCAACCCGCGAGUCGAGCGGCGAACGGGUGAGUAACGCGUGGGCAACCUACCCUGCAGUGGGGGAUAGCUCCUCGAAAGAGGGGGUAAUACCGCAUAUCCUCUGUAGAUCACAAGAACUGCCGAGGAAAGGCUGGGACCCUUCGGGGCCAGCCGCUACAGGAUGGGCCCGCGUCCGAUUAGCUAGUUGGUAGGGUAACGGCCUACAAAGGCGACGAUCGGUAGCCGGCCUGAGAGGGUGAUCGGCCACAUGGGGACUGAGACACGGCCCAGACUCCUACGGGAGGCAGCAGUGGGGAAUCUUGGGCAAUGGGCGAAAGCCUGACCCAGCGACGCCGCGUGGGGGAUGAAGGCCGUCGGGUUGUAAACCCCUGUCAGGAGAGACGAAACCCUCCCGGUAAAUAGCCGGGUGGGGUGACGGUACCUCCAAAGGAAGCCCCGGCUAACUCCGUGCCAGCAGCCGCCGUAAGAC
rnacentral:rRNA from 1 species